rnacentral:rRNA from 1 species
GGACUACAGGGGUAUCUAAUCCCGUUUGCUCCCCUGGCUUUCGCUCCUCAGCGUCAGAAUUGGUCCAGGAUGCCGCCUUCGCCACCGGUGUUCCUCCAGAUAUCUACGCAUUUCACCGCUACACCUGGAAUUCCGCAUCCCUCUCCCAACCUCAAGCCAUCCAGUAUCAGACGCAGUUCCCCGGUUAAGCCGAGGGAUUUCACGUCUGACUUAGUUGGCCACCUACGAGCCCUUUACGCCCAGUAAUUCCGAACAACGCUUGCACCCUCUGUAUUACCGCGGCUGCUGGCAC